UAAUACAUGCAAGUCGAACGAAUCUCUUUUAGAGAUGAGUGGCGAACGGGUGAGUAAUACAUAGGUAACCUGCCCCUGUGCGGGGGAUAACAGGAGGAAACUCCUGCUAAUACCGCAUAGCCAUGAGCACCGCAUGGAGCUCAUGCCAAAUAUCCUUUAUGGGAUAGCGCAGGGAUGGACCUAUGGCGCAUUAGCUGGUUGGCGGGGCAACGGCCCACCAAGGCAACGAUGCGUAGCCGGCUGAGAGGGCGGACGGCCACAUUGGGACUGUGACACGGCCCAGACUCAUACGGGAGGCAGCAGUAGGGAAUUUUCGGCAAUGGGGGAAACCCUGACCGAGCAACGCCGCGUGAGCGAAGAAGGCCUUCGGGUCGUAAAGCUCUGUUGUAAAGGAAGAACGGCGCAUACAGGAAAUGGUAUGCGAGUGACGGUACUUUACCAGAAAGCCACGGCUAACUACGUGCCAGCAGCCGCGGUAAUACGUAGGUGGCGAGCGUUAUCCGGAAUCAUUGGGCGUAAAGAGGGAGCAGGCGGCCGCAAGGGUCUGUGGUGAAAGCCCGAAGCUAAACUUCGGUAAGCCAUGGAAACCGGGCGGCUAGAGUGCGGAAGAGGAUCGUGGAAUUCCAUGUGUAGCGGUGAAAUGCGUAGAUAUAUGGAGGAACACCAGUGGCGAAGGCGACGGUCUGGGCCGCAACUGACGCUCAUUCCCGAAAGCGUGGGGAGCAAAUAGGAUUAGAUACCCUAGUAGUCCACGCCGUAAACGAUGGUCACUAAGUGUCGGGGGUCAAACCCCGGUGCUGCAGUCAACGCAAUAAGUGACCCGCCUGAGUAGUACGUUCGCAAGAAUGA
rnacentral:rRNA from 1 species